UACAGAGGGGGCAAGCGUUGUUCGGAAUUACUGGGCGUAAAGGGUGCGUAGGUGGCUGGGAAAGUUUGAUGUGAAAGCUCAGGGCUUAACCCUGAAAUGGCAUUGAAUACUGCCUGGCUGGAGGUUUGGAGGGGGGACUGGAAUACUUGGUGUAGCAGUGAAAUGCGUAGAUAUCAAGUGGAACACCAGUGGCGAAGGCGAGUCCCUGGACAAAACCUGACACUGAGGCACGAAAGCUAGGGGAGCAAACAGG
rnacentral:rRNA from 1 species